rnacentral:rRNA from 1 species
UACAGAGGAUGCAAGCGUUAUCCGGAAUGAUUGGGCGUAAAGCGUCUGUAGGUGGCUUUUAAGUCCGCCGUCAAAUCCAGGCUCAACUCUGGACAGGCGGUGGAACUACCAAGCUGGAGUACGGUAGGGCAGAGGGAAUUUCCGGUGGAGCGGUGAAAUGCGUAGAGAUCGGAAAGAACACCAACGGCGAAAGCACUCUGCUGGGCCGACACUGACACUGAGAGACGAAAGCUAGGGGAGCGAAUGGG